UACAGAGGUCCCAAGCGUUGCUCGGAAUCACUGGGCGUAAAGGGUGCGUAGGCGGCGCUUUAAGUCAGGGGUGAAAUCCUGGAGCUCAACUCCAGAACUGCCUUUGAUACUGAAGAUCUUGAGUUCGGGAGAGGUGAGUGGAACUGCGAGUGUAGAGGUGAAAUUCGUAGAUAUUCGCAAGAACACCAGUGGCGAAGGCGGCUCACUGGCCCGAUACUGACGCUGAGGCACGAAAGCGUGGGGAGCAAACAGG
rnacentral:rRNA from 1 species